rnacentral:rRNA from 2 species
UAAUGUUUGAUGUUCUAACGUGGAUCCGUAAUCCGGGUUGCGGACAGUGUCUGGUGGGUAGUUUGACUGGGGCGGUCUCCUCCUAAAGAGUAACGGAGGAGCACGAAGGUUGGCUAAUCCUGGUCGGACAUCAGGAGGUUAGUGCAAUGGCAUAAGCCAGCUUGACUGCGAGCGUGACGGCGCGAGCAGGUGCGAAAGCAGGUCAUAGUGAUCCGGUGGUUCUGAAUGGAAGGGCCAUCGCUCAACGGAUAAAAGGUACUCCGGGGAUAACAGGCUGAUACCGCCCAAGAGUUCAUAUCGACGGCGGUGUUUGGCACCUCGAUGUCGGCUCAUCACAUCCUGGGGCUGAAGUAGGUCCCAAGGGUAUGGCUGUUCGCCAUUUAAAGUGGUACGCGAGCUGGGUUUAGAACGUCGUGAGACAGUUCGGUCCCUAUCUGCCGUGGGCGCUGGAGAACUGAGGGGGGCUGCUCCUAGUACGAGAGGACCGGAGUGGACGCAUCACUGGUGUUCGGGUUGUCAUGCCAAUGGCACUGCCCGGUAGCUAAAUGCGGAAGAGAUAAGUGCUGAAAGCAUCUAAGCACGAAACUUGCCCCGAGAUGAGUUCUCCCUGAGACUUAGAGUCUCCUGAAGGAACGUUGAAGACGACGACGUUGAUAGGCCGGGUGUGUAAGCGCAGCGAUGCGUUGAGCUAACCGGUACUAAUGAACCGUGAGGCUUAACCUUACAACGCCGAAG